rnacentral:rRNA from 1 species
GACGAACGCUGGCGGCGUGCUUAACACAUGCAAGUCGAACGGUAAGGCCCUUCGGGGUACACGAGUGGCGAACGGGCGAGUAACACGUGGGUGAUCUGCCCUGCACUUCGGGAUAAGCCUGGGAAACUGGGUCUAAUACCGGAUAGGACUCCGGACUGCAUGGUCUGGGGUGGAAAGCUUUUGCGGUGUGGGAUGGGCCCGCGGCCUAUCAGCUUGUUGGUGGGGUGAUGGCCUACCAAGGCGACGACGGGUAGCCGGCCUGAGAGGGUGACCGGCCACACUGGGACUGAGAUACGGCCCAGACUCCUACGGGAGGCAGCAGUGGGGAAUAUUGCACAAUGGGCGCAAGCCUGAUGCAGCGACGCCGCGUGAGGGAUGACGGCCUUCGGGUUGUAAACCUCUUUCAGCACCGACGAAGCGCAAGCGACGGUAGGUGUAGAAGAAGGACCGGCCAACUACGUGCCAGCCGCCGCGGUAA